CCUACGGGUGGCAGCAGUGAGGAAUAUUGGUCAAUGGGCGGGAGCCUGAACCAGCCAAGUCGCGUGAGGGAAGACGGUCCUAUGGAUUGUAAACCUCUGUAGGCGGGGAGCAAGGCCGGGCACGCGUGCCCGGAGGGAGAGGACCCGCAGAAGAAGCAGCGGCUAACUCCGUGCCAGCAGCCGCGGUAAUACGGAGGAUGCGAGCGUUAUCCGGAUUUAUGGGGUUGAAAGGGUGCGUAGGCGGAUUUUUAAGUCAGCGGGACAAUGUCCGGGCUCAACCCGGGCCGGCCGUUGACACUGGGGAUCUUGCGUGGGCGACACUUAUGCGGCCUGCGUGGUGUAGC
rnacentral:rRNA from 1 species